rnacentral:rRNA from 1 species
GAACCUGAACCUCAGAUCAGGCGAGAUCACCCGCUGAAUUUAAGCAUAUCAAUAAGCGGAGGAAAAGAAACUAACCAGGA